rnacentral:rRNA from 1 species
UGGGCACUUCUGCGAGAGCUGCCGGUGGACAACUCCGGAGGAAGGUCGGGGACGUACGUCAAAUCAUCUCAUGCCCCUUAUGAUCUCU